rnacentral:lncRNA from 1 species
CUCUCCAGCGCUGUCGGCCUGGCUUAAAGUGAUUAAUUAUUUAACAGGCGCUCACUACUCUUUUAUGUUGCGAACGAGGUUGUGGCUACGAAGGCCAGCUUUUGCAAGAAGCUCCACGCUACCGUCGUCCUGGGACCUACCACGAAAGCGUUUCUUCAGGCAUGAUUGAGAGACUGAUACUCGUAUGCGUGGCACUUCUUGCGUGCGGAACGUGCGUCGCCUCCAGUGAGAUCGACGAGUCACCAGAGUGCAUACGAGUGAUGAGAGCAGUCGAUGCCUGCUCAGAGAAGUUCAAGGGACGCCUACCCAGAGAGCUUUUCACAGAGGU